rnacentral:rRNA from 1 species
CAGCCGCCACGGUAACACGGAGGGUGCAAGCGUUAAUCGGAAUUACUGGGCGUAAAGCGCACGCAGGCGGUUUGUUAAGUCAGAUGUGAAAUCCCCGAGCUUAACUUGGGAACUGCAUUUGAAACUGGCAAGCCAGAGUCUUGUAGAGGGGGGUAGAAUUCCAGGUGUAGCGGUGAAAUGCGUAGAGAUCUGGAGGAAUACCGGUGGCGAAGGCGGCCCCCUGGACAAAGACUGACGCUCAGGUGCGAAAGCGUGGGGAGCAAACAGGAUUAGAGACCCGGGUAGUCCCUGUCUCUUAUAC